GAUGAAGAACGUAGCGAAAUGCGAUAAGUAAUGUGAAUUGCAGAAUUCAGUGAAUCAUCGAAUCUUUGAACGCACAUUGCGCCCUCCGGCAUUCCGGGGGGCAUGCCUGUCCGAGCGUCACGAAAACCCCAUGACACUCGUUGUGGUCAUGGCUGCAGUGAGUCGUCUCCAGCGGAGAGGGUCACGCCGCUGAAAGGAAUGGUGCGGAUGAGUUCCGAUGGCCGAACGUAGUACUUGACAACCGUCGGCCGAUGGGACCCUCCAUCUCGCCCUGACGACGUACCCCCGUCGUACCCCCGAUCAGGUGGACCUCGGAUCAGGUAGGGAUACCCGCUGAACUUAAGCAUAUCAAUAAGCGGAGGA
rnacentral:misc_RNA from 1 species